GAAUAGUUUUUUUGGGCGGCAUUUUCCUUUCUCUCCUUUCUUAUUCACUUUCACGAGCGCCUAAUUUGUUCACCUGUUUCUCAAUCAAUAGUUGUUUUCCCUAAUUCUCUCUUCUUUCCAAAAUCACAUCAAAGAAACCCUAAAACCAUUUGUCUGCGUUUCUGUCUUUUGGUUUACAUGAUUCCUAUCUUAAUGCUUUCAUUAUUUUGUAAAAGAGAAACAAAAGAGAGAGAUGGAGCAGAUGAGAGACGCAGACGGGAGAUGGUCAUCUUCUCCGACGACUGGUGUCAGCGAUAGGGCUUUCUUAGUAGCCAGCGACGGCGGUGGUUCCAAGGUGGUUGUUGUUGUCAUCGGUGGUCAGCAAAGGGUGAGAUCUGUCUUCCAACGGCUAGGGUUCCGCCAUGAAUCAUUGGAUUUUUUUCUUCACAUGUCCAUCCUUCAAAGACUAACAAUACGCCGCACAUCAGAACCUCCUCAUCGAUUGAAAUUGACUGAUAAUCCUCAUGUUCUACAAUUCUCUAUCAUCAGAAAUGGGGAAAGCAACUAGAAAGAAGAAGUUACAAACUGGAGUUGAAAAAGCAACCAAACAGAACAAAACAGCAUUAAUAUGGGUUAUUAUCGUCGCUUGAAGACUGAGGAUCAAGUAAUAAAUAACCAACUAAUGUAGCUGGGGAAAUCGAUCAAUAGGGGAGGGCAGUGUCACUCAGGAGGGCAAUGUCGCGCAAAGCUUAGACCGUUUUCGUUUCUAUAUCUCGGACAGCAGCGGGCGCCAUACAGCAUUUUGCAAACAAUACUUGUAGCGUGUAAGUUCAAUGUUCUUGAGUGAUCAUAUAUUUGGCAUUUUUAGUUUAUUUGGUAUGAGCGAUAUUUAUCUUUGUAAUAUUUACACUGUGAUAUGUUUAAGCUCUUUUGCAAGUUGAAAUCAGUCUAUUGAAACAUAAAUGGAGGUAGCAGCACCUGUUGUUGACUAUGAGUAUUUGAAGGAGAUAGAAAGGAGUCGUCGUGAUCUUCGUGCUCUCAUCUCCAACAAAAAUGUGCUCCUAUCAUGCUUUGCUUAGCCACAUUGGGGAUUCAACUGACCUUGAGAUAGAGGUUAUCUUUUACAACUACGUUGUGAAGCGCCAAAUCAUCAACUCACGCCUGGUAAUUGCAUCACAGUUGUUGCUUGUGGAUGAAGUGAUUUGUGCAGGUCACAUAUCUUAAUCUUCCGGAGGUGGUGGAGGGAGCAGUGGCGGAUGUAGCUUAUACAAGGGGGCAACGCCCGCUACGGCUUGGCACGGAAAAAUUUGGAAAAAUUAAUAUCCGCCACUGGGAGGGAGGAUGGGAUGAAGGAGACAGAGAAGUUGGCGAGAGACUGGAAUAACAAAAUUGGUCAAAGGGUUGUGUAUCAACUAAAAUCAGACCUGAAACCGUAAAACAAUGGUAUAGUUGUUUACAUGUGUGAUUUGGUGUAUAUGUGUUUGUUUGUAGUAAUUCUAUUCAGUUUUGGACAUGAAAUUAUGUCUUGUUUGAUAAA